rnacentral:lncRNA from 10 species
GCUGAGUCCCUCUUGCUCACCCUUGACUUGGAAAAACCAGUUUCUCUUUUAUUGUCUGUUACUAAUCUCUAUUCUAAAAAUUCAGCUCAAUUCUCAACCAUACUCCAAACUCUCUCUUUUCCAGCUACCUUUACUCCCUCUCCUUCAAUUCCACUUUCCUCUGCUUACUUUUUUUUUUUUUCUGACAGGGUCUCACUUUGUCGCCCGGGCAGGAGUGCAGUGGCUCAAUCUUGGGCUCACUGCAGCCUCAACCUCCCAGAGGCGGGGUUUCACCAUGUUGCCCAGACUGGUCUUGAACUCCUGAGCUUAAGCAAUCCACCUGCCUCGGCCUCCCAAAGUGUUGGGAUCACAGGCGUGAGCCACCGCAUCCGGCCUCAUGUUCUUUUUCAUUAAAGAGAGAAAUCAACUAUUCAGGACCGGCCCCCACCUUUCCUCAGGAGUCAUUUCUGUUCCGCACAGGCCUGCUGAACUGGGUGCUUUAUAUAGGACACUGUCAUCUCUCAAGUACCCAUCUUGGAGGGUACGGACCCCACAUGAGGAAAGGACCAACCACACCGAGCUCAGUUAUGGCACACACAGUGGGACCUAGACAAAGGGAGAGGGUGACCGACAUCCCAACUAGGUAAACACAGAGGAGGUUCCACAUGGACUUAUCUGGGUGGCUGUUUUGAAAACGAGAAACAGUCAAGAGUCCCUGGCCCCACAGACCCACCUCCCCAACUCAGCACUGUCUGUCUGUGCAGCAGGUGCAAGGACGUGUUGAACUAGCUCUCUGCAGCCUCCUUGGAGGAUGUGAUCCUAUGGGAGGGGUAGGAGUAUUCAGGUCCUUGACAUCUCCCAAAUGUGUGAUUCCGGGAUGCCAAAGGCCUUUGGCCAGAUUUCAGUGGAGUGAAGUUCAGGAGGCAUGGAGCUGACAACCAUGAGGCCUCGGCAGCCACCGCCACCACCGCCGCCGCCACCACCGUAGCAGCAGCAGCAGCAGCAGCAGCAGCAGCAGCAGCAGCAAGAGUAACUCUGACUUAGGAAUAGAGACAGCCAGAGAGAAAUGUGAUCAAUGAAGGAGACAUCUGGAGUGUGCGUGCUUCUUCAGAGGGACGGGUGAUGGGCAGAUUGGAAAAAGCACCGCAGAUGGGAACCUUAAUCUUUCUUUUCUAAAAUUGAUGCUAUGAAAAUUUGCGUUUUCUGUAACUUGUAAAAACUAAAAGUUGCUUGUCUACUGAAAAGCCUCUCUGCCUCUAUGUUUUAUACCAUCGGAUGCCAACUCCCGGCCUUCUAAGCCACCUCCCCUUUAGGCUAAAACUGAGACAUGAACUUGAAAAAUUGACACUGGCUUCCUCUCUCUUUAGGGUCCCCAGGCAGGUGGCUGGGACACUAUUUGCAAUCAGCAAGGAACCCUGCUGCCCUUAGACUCCCCACAGAGCAAGCAGAACUUGCAGAAUGGGGUAAAAACACUCUAUUAAAGAUUUUUUAAACCUAUUUAUAUUGUAAUAAAGUAAAUGUAAAUAAAAUUUAAGUGAAGGCAGAUUGCAGAUAUUUCCGAUGCUAUACAAGAUAUAUCUCAUAGUAUGGGUGUAGAUUCUGCAAAGGUUAAUGCAGUUAAACAUAUUUGACACAUAAAAAUGUCAGAUCCAACAUUAAUCAUUCACCAAUUGUAAUUGCCUUUCUAUGGGUCUCUUCUCCCCAAGACAUAGCUUAAAACACCAGGCUCGGUAGAAAUCUGGGAGGAAAAAAGCAAAUAAUACCUCUCAGCUGUCAGGGUCUAUGAUACGCUUUGAUAGAUUUAGCACUGAUUUCAUUCUCUUUACAAUUCAGUGUGAUUGGGUGUGCGUGUGUGUGUGUGUGUGUGUGUGUGUGUGUGUGUGUGUUACUCCAUGUUUCUCCUUUUUAAGGAAGGAGAAGGUGUGGAACAAGAGAAAGUUCCUAAGUCUGAAGGAAGUCCAACCCAGUUAUGAAGGGAAUGCCAUCCACAAGCCUUUUUUAUAAUUGGCCCCUGCCUCAGGUAAAGGGGUCUCCUUUAAGGAGCCAGUCUGGCUAAAUUGGCAGAUUCUGAACAAAGCCUGGCCCUGACAAGUCUUCAGAAAAACCGGUUUUCACCUCCAGAAUGUGCCCCAG